AAUGAGUUGAUUGUAAUGAUUGUCGUUGUUUAGAAGCAUAUUAUCAGUACUUAUUAAUUUUUAUAAGAUAUAAUUUUAAUAAUCACUUUAAAGAGAGUCGUCUUUUCCUUUCGAUUGAAUUGAAUGGAAACUUGACAAUAAUUGGAAAAAAAUUACAACGUUGUAACGAUGUUGCACUGAAUUUAGAAGUUUUCAACAUUUUUUUAUAAAAAUGUUUUGUUGUUUGAAAUAAAAAAAUGCCGAUUAAACCUUGUAAAAGGUUUUUAACUGAGGUCAAUGUGAAAUAAACGUUCUCCUUUCAAACGGAACAUCCCUCUGUCAGACGGGUAUAGUUUACAGAUCUUCGCCGCCUAUCAUUCUAAGCGGAGUAUCAAUAAAUUCACCUCACAGUUUAAAUGUUUAAGAAAUAAUAAAAAUAUGACUAAAUCAGUAAUUUUAUGAUUAAUAAAGUGCUAAUUAACAAAAAAAGUGAGUUAGGGUAUCCCACUUGACGUUACCAUGUCAUUUGAGAAGCCGAUUAGGUGGUUUGGCUUAGUAAGAUGGGGUAAAUGAAGGCCAUAUAUGUCUGUGAGACGAAUGUUCCUCAUAACCUAAAAAAUCUUGUUUUGUCUAAAGGGUUGAUGUGGGUAAGUAUUAAUGUAACCCCUUAUAGAUUCUACUAUGAAAAAAAAACACGUGUGUCAUAAAAAAAUUUAAUUACAUUUAAAAUUUUCACAAAAGUGGAUAAUUCAACAUGACGUCUUGUCUUGCUAAUUCCAACAACAUAGGAUCAUCGAAGAACUUAUUGAUAGAGACAUCUUGACUGAGACCUUUACGUCUUCGAGUUUUUAUCAUAAAUUCUCUAGCUAGGUGAGUUGAAGGUUGGGGUUCGAGUGGUCUAAUUACGAUCGUUUUAUCCAAUGGAUCACCAGGAACAAUCUACAACAAACGAAAUCAACGGGCAACAAAUUUCAAUAAAAACUUUCAAAAUUUUGUUUUUUGUUAACUUUCAAUUAAAAUUUAAUGAAAUGAU